CCCCUAGAUGUUCUGGGCCGCACGCGCGCUACACUGAACAGUUCAACAAGUCUUAACCUUGGCCGAUAGGUCUGGGUAAUCUUUGAACGCUGUUCGUGAUUGGGAUAGACCUUUGCAAUUAUGGGUCUUCAACGAGGAAUUCCUAGUAAACGCAAGUCAUCAGCUUGCAUUGAUUACGUCCCUGCCCUUUGUACACACCGCCCGUCGCACCUACCGAUUGAAUGGUCCGGUGAAAUCUUCGGAUCUGAGAGAUGUCUGAUUAAUUUCGGACGCCUUUUGGAAAAGUUGCUUAAACCUUACCAUUUAGAGGAAGGUGAAGUCGUANCA
rnacentral:rRNA from 1 species